rnacentral:lncRNA from 1 species
GUUGCCGCCUCAUCUCCUUGGACGUGGAUCUUUCUGGGCAUCCUACCUGCUGGUGUGAAGUGUCACAUCAUCACAUCUCAUCCCUCGAUUGAUUGUAUAUGCGAAGCCAAUUGGAUUGGAGUUCAUCCUGCUUUCCUGCAGCGUCUGACGUGCAUGUGAAGUAGAGGGUUUGCAUAUCCAGACCUCCGCGAAGGUUUAUAUCAGAUAAUUUGGGAUUUGAUCCCUAG